GAGAGUCAAAGAGUGCUUGAAA
rnacentral:snRNA from 1 species